GAUGAACGCUGGCGGCGUGCCUAAUACAUGCAAGUCGAGCGAACGGACGAUAAGCUUGCUGCUCUGAUGUUAGCGGCGGACGGGUGAGUAACACGUGGAUAACCUACCUCUAAGACUGAGAUAACUUCGGGAAACCGGAGCUAAUACCAGAUAAUAUUUUUAACCGCAUGGUUCAAAAGUGAAAGACGGUCUUGCUGUCACUUAUAGAUGGAUCCGCGCUGCAUUAGCUAGUUGGUAAGGUAACGGCUUACCAAGGCAACGAUGCAUAGCCGACCUGAGAGGGGGGUAGGCCACCCUAGAACGGAGACACGGUCCAGACUACUACGGUAGGCACCAGAAGGGUAUCGUACGCAACGGGCGAAAACAUGACAGAGCAAAGCCGAGUGAGUGACAGCGGUCCUGGGAUCGGAAAAAUCUGUUAUUAGUGAAAAACACAUGUGUAAGUAAACGUAGACAUUUUGACGGUACCUAAUCAAAAAGCACCGGCUAACUACGUG
rnacentral:rRNA from 1 species